rnacentral:rRNA from 1 species
GAUCAUGGCUCAAGAACGAACGCUGGCGGCAGGCCUAACACAUGCAAGUCGAGCGAGACCUUCGGGUCUAGCGGCGGACGGGUGAGUAACGCGUGGGAACGUGCCCUUGGUACGGAAUAGCCCCGGGAAAUGGGAGUAAUACCGUAUAAGCUCUUCGGAGGAAAGAUUUAUCGCCAAAGGAUCGGCCGAUGCCUGAUUAGCUUGUUGGUGGGGUAAAAGCCCACCAAGGCGACGAUCAGUAGCUGGUCUGAGAGGACGAUCAGCCACACUGGGACUGAGACACGGCCCAGACUCCUACGGGAGGCAGCAGUGGGGAAUUUUGGACAAUGGGCGCAAGCCUGAUCCAGCAAUGCCGCGUGCAGGAAGAAGGCCUUCGGGUUGUAAACUGCUUUUGUACGGAACGAAAAGGUCUGGGUUAAUACCCUGGGCUCAUGACGGUACCGUAAGAAUAAGCACCGGCUAACUACGUG